rnacentral:rRNA from 1 species
UACGUAGGGACCAAGCGUUGUUCGGAUUUACUGGGCGUAAAGGGCGCGUAGGCGGCAAUUCAAGUCAGUUGUGAAAUCUCCGAGCUUAACUCGGAAUGGUCAACUGAUACUGCUUUGCUAGAGUACAGAAGGGGCAAUCGGAAUUCUUGGUGUAGCGGUGAAAUGCGUAGAUAUCAAGAGGAACACCUGAGGUGAAGACGGGUUGCUGGGCUGAUACUGACGCUGAGGCGCGAAAGCUAGGGUAGCAAACGGG